GAUGAACGCUGGCGGCGUGCUUAACACAUGCAAGUCGAACGAAGCACUUUAUUUGAUUUCCUUCGGGACUGAUUAUUUUGUGACUGAGUGGCGGACGGGUGAGUAACGCGUGGGUAACCUGCCUUGUACAGGGGGAUAACAGUUGGAAACGGCUGCUAAUACCGCAUAAGCGCACAGCAUCGCAUGAUGCAGUGUGAAAAACUCCGGUGGUAUAAGAUGGACCCGCGUUGGAUUAGCUAGUUGGUGAGGUAACGGCCCACCAAGGCGACGAUCCAUAGCCGACCUGAGAGGGUGACCGGCCACAUUGGGACUGAGACACGGCCCAAACCCCUACGGGAGGCAGCAGUGGGGAAUAUUGCACAAUGGGCGAAAGCCUGAUGCAGCGACGCCGCGUGAGCGAAGAAGUAUUUCGGUAUGUAAAGCUCUAUCAGCAGGGAAGAUAAUGACGGUACCUGACGAAGAAGCACCGGCUAAAUACGUG
rnacentral:rRNA from 1 species